rfam:Macleaya cordata isolate BLH2017 scaffold8717, whole genome shotgun sequence.
GCAUCCAUGGCUGAAUAGUUAAAGCGCCCAAAAAAACAUUGGAAAAUUCGUAGGUUCAAUUCCUGCGGGAUGCA